UGGGGAAUAUUGCACAAUGGGCGCAAGCCUGAUGCAGCCAUGCCGCGUGUAUGAAGAAGGCCUUCGGGUUGUAAAGUACUUUCAGCGGGGAGGAAGGGAGUAAAGUUAAUACCUUUACUCAUUGACGUUACCCGCAGAAGAAGCACCGGCUAACUCCGUGCCAGCAGCCGCGGUAAUACGGAGGGUGCAAGCAUUAAUCGGAAUUAUUGGGCGUAAAGCGCACGCAGGCGGUUUGUUAAGUCAGAUGUGAAAUCCCCGGGCUUAACCUGGGAACUGCAUCUGAUACUGGCAAGCUUGAGUCUCGUAGAGGGGGGUAGAAUUCCAGGUGUAGCGGUGAAAUGCGUAGAGAUCUGGAGGAAUACCGGUGGCGAAGGCGGCCCCCUGGACAAAGACUGACGCUCAGGUGCGAAAGCGUGGGGAGCAAACAGG
rnacentral:rRNA from 1 species